CUUGGCAGGCCCCAAGGGAGGCAGCAAGCCAGGAAGGAGGCUGGCAGAGUUCCCUGCAACAGACUCUCUGCCCAGACCAUCCAGUACAGCCUUUGCCAGAUACUACCCGAAUGGUAGCUAACAUUUGCUUGGCAGCCAUGAAAAUUGGACAACAAAGGACCGCUGAUGAGAUGUAAUCUGAUCUUGUACACAUGAGGGCUUUGCAUCCCUGCUGAGAUCCUGGAGAGAAAAAAGUACCGGGACAGCAUCCUUGCCUAUCGCUGCACCACUACACAACCAGUGAACAGACAACAAAAUG